rnacentral:rRNA from 1 species
CCUACGGGUGGCAGCAGUGGGGAAUAUUGCACAAUGGGGGAAACCCUGAUGCAGCAACGCCGCGUGAAGGAAGACGGUUUUCUGAUUUUAAACUUCUGUUCUUAGUGAAGAAUACUGCCGGUCGCUAAGGCUCACGCCCCGGCUACCUACGUGCCAGCCGCCGCGGUACUACGUAGGUUGCAAGCGUUGUCCGGCAGUACUGGGUGUAAAGGGAGCGCAGGCGGGAAGCCAAGUCAGCUGUGAAAACUACGGGCUUAACUUGUAGACUGCAGUUGAAACUGGUUUUCUUGAGUGAAGUAGAGGUUGGCGGAAUUCGGAGUGUAGCGGUGAAAUGCGUAGAUAGUCGGAGGAACACCGGUGGCGAAGGCGGCCAACUGGGCUUUAACUGACGCUGAGGCUCGAAAGUGUGGGGAGCAAACAGGAUUAGAUACCCGAGUAGUC